ensembl:lncRNA
GGCUGACUUCCAAAACAGCAGCAUCACCCUACCAGCCCCAUUACAAUUCCACAGACAUCCAGAAUGGAGAAGUACAAAAAGCAAAGCCAUCCACACCACUGAGGCUGCCCAGAAGUAAUGAAAGCUGUUACUUACCCAGCAACGCUCUGUAGCUGCCCAUGAGGUGGAUGCACUGAAAGGAGCUCUGCCCCUCCAGAGCAGCUCCCUGCACUGUCCCGAGGCAGCAGCCCAGCUGCACCUGCCAGGUGUGCCAGAAGCAUCAGUGAUUUCCAUUCAUGCAAAGGCAGAAUUAAUUGGAAUCGGUGAGACUACAGUGAAUAGUAAAUCAACCCACUAGAGUAGCAUCUAAAAUAAAGCGUCACCAAAAUUAUCUGCAGAUUUCAGGGAAUGUGUAACCUGAAACUUCACAAGUAUAAAAUCAAUCCCUGACUGAGUUUCUGGAGGCAGUGGGAGGCACUCUGGGCUGGCCACGUUAAUGUAUUUUCAAACCAUUUAUAAUUCAAUUCCAUUUAAUUUUCACACUGCUUUCCCUGUUUCAGACCAUUACACUUGUACAAACAAGUCAUUUAUAUAUUAUUCACAUAAUUCCCUCCACCCAGAAUAACUGCUGCUCUGGAGUAAACUGACGAUCAAGAACGACUCUUAAAAGAGAAUCUGCUUUAUCUAAGGGAAGUGUAUUUAAAAGGCAAAAACAUCUUUUGAAUGUAUGACAGUGCGUUAUGUUUCAGGGAAACUCUUUUACCUGCUCUGCUUUUAUAAGGCAUGCAAAGCAAAACCCAAAACCAACACCAGUAACCCCCACCCAGCUCACAUCGCCCACUACUGAGGCCAACCUGACCAUUCCAUUCUUUCUUUACGUGCAGACCCUUCUCAAUCUACAGCUCACCAACUAUGGAGAACAGCACUGCCCAUCCUGCUGGCUGGCAUGUCCUCCUUCAGCAUGGCUUGUUUCUUUUCUUUGAGGGAUUUCUUCCCCUCCCAUUUAAGGCAUUUCCAUCAGCAGUAACUCUAAGCCAGAAGAAACAAUGCGCUUGGUAUGAGAUGUGAUCAGUCAAGGAGCUGGCCAUUAGCACGUGAGCUAACAGAACACUGUGAUACCUUUUGCCAACAGAACGAAAUGCCUUUUGACUAUAAAUAGUUGUUUUUGAGCAAAGGGGCACUUUUUGGUGUAGCUAUUUUUGAGGUAUUGUACAGUUUUAUUUAAAAACUACUGAAUGUGUUCAUAAAGGUGGGUCUGGAAACUAGAGGGCUAGGGAUCCUUGAGAAGCAAAGGGUGGUUGCAGAUGCGUAAGUACUCAAUUUUCUAUUCAGGAAGCCCUGGAGAAUUGGGCUUACACUGGAAAUGGUUGUGGGUUUUUUUGUGUGUUUUUUGUUUUGUUUUGUUUGAAAUCAAUCCAGUUUUAAUAUCAAAUCUUCAUGAAAAAGCUAUCACAGAAACAGCUUCACAGCAGAUCAUAUUUGAAGAUGCUGUUUUUAUUUCAUGGGAUUAGAAAAAGGUGAGGAUUUUCUUCUGUCGUUUAAUUUUGGUCAGAAAUCAAAUGGCCUUUUCCAGGCAACAGAGCUUUUAGAUGUUGAGAGAACUUUGUGUGUUUAGUAGAGACAGAGUGGGGACCUCAGCAUUCGCCCAUGAGGUGGUAGCAGCCACCCCGAGAGAGGGGGAGGAUGGAGAGGGCAGAGCAAAAAGCAAAAACAGAUGCUCCAUUUUACGUACUUUUCUACUUGCACCUUUUAUGUCCAUAGUGCAGAUUCCAUGUCAUUCCCUCAUGUAACAUGUAAAAAUGAAACGAUGUAUAUAAUAAAUAAAAUUAUUUAUUUUAUGUGUAUUUUUAGCUUAACUGUAAACUGGAAAAAAAAAAAAAAGUUUAAUCUUUUUUUUCCCAAAAAUGUAAGCCUAUUGAAAUUCAAGGUGUUUCUACCUUUUCGGAUGUAACAUUUCCAGCUACCUAUUGAUAAUAAACAUUUAUGAACAGCAAAGC